GAUUCUGCCCUACGGGGAAGGAUGAGAAGCUUCGACUAAGGUUCGACUCGAGCGCCAGCGAGAGAACGUUGCCGCAGGCAAUGGCCCGAAGGGCGAGGAGCGAUAGCGACGAGUUAUCCUUUUACCGGCGAGCU
rnacentral:sRNA from 1 species